GCAUUAAUGGGGUAGUGGUAACCUGGGUCGUUGCCAUUAGUAAAGUACUUUCGGUUUAUCUCGACCCGCCGGGGGUUCGAUUCCCCCUUAAUGCA